rnacentral:sRNA from 1 species
ACUCAACGAGCUUUUAAUUAAAAAGGGUGAGUUUCAAUUGUAAAAGCAAGCUGUCUUGAACAGAUCCUUGACCAGUUGUGUAGCCUUAAACUUGAUUUUUAGGAGUUU